UUAUAUUGAUGACAAUUGCAGAUAAAAUAUCUUUGGUCUAAAAGAAUUUGAAUCCAAGCGAUUAAUUCUCUGCCUAUGACGAGAAAAAGUUGAUUUGGCUUGCUCAGUAUUACCCAAGUGACUUUUCUGCGCUUGACUUGUUGAUACUUGAAGAUCAGCUUAAGUUGUACAUUAUGGACUUGCGCUCUAGCAUUGAGUUUUCAGGAUUGAAUGGGAUUGCGGAUCUUGCACAGAAAAUGGUUGAGAAAAAAGUGUUUACCCAUUAGUUUACUUGCUGUUGACAUUGGCACUUAUCAUACCAGUUGCAACUCCUACUGUAGAGAGGGCGUUUUGUGCUACGAGGAUUGUGAAGAACCGGUUACUCAAUCAAAUGGAAGAUCAAAGGACGGAUGAUAGUUGGAUUGCAUAUAUUGAGAAAGACAUUAUUGAUAGUAUCGAAAAUGAGAUCGUUAUGCAACGAUUUCAAAAUAUGAAAACUCGUCCAUGGCAAAUCUCAUUGUAAUGAAUAGAUAUUUUUUCAAUCAACGCUGAUGUUUUUGUCUUGUUAUGAGCUUCAACUGUUUUCAUUUUUCUUAUUUUAUCUGAAAUAUUAUCAGUAUAGACCUAUGGCUCUGCAUCCCUUGAAUUUGAACAGGUUGAAGCAUGACUGCUUGCUCAAGAAGCAAUGACUGCAGAACAUUGGAAUUACAGGUUAGUUGGGUGCGGCGCUGCAAAGGCAGCCGCGGUGGAAGUGGUGCCAUGGCCUGGUGGCCUUGUCACGACUGCUGGGUCACGGCAAUGGUGGUGGUGCGGCUCCGCGGUGGUGGGGUUCCUCUUGCCAUCGCGUUGAGCCUUGAGGAUCGCUGUCGUGGGGCUAUGUCCUCGCCUCCACUCUUCGGUCCAAAUCCUUGUAUGUACGGGUUCUGUUCGUCCUAGUUUCUGAAUUUCCUACCAUUGUUACUACUAGAAUUAUGCUCAUUGCACACUAUUUUUUGUACACCCUUUGUAAUUGGUGGCCAUAGAUAUAAAGUUGCUACUCUUACUAUUUUUUGGUGGCCUUAUAGCGGGAUGCCACUGGACUUAAGUAAUCAGCCUCCAAUGAUUGAUGUCUGUUAACUAACUUUAUUUCUUAAAAUUACACCAAAGACUUUUUACAUGUUUUUUCAACUUUGGAACCUGUUUUUUAAUUUCUUUAUCAGUCUUCUCCUUUUUAUCUGUAAAAAAAUAAUUGUUUUUUCAUUUAAUAAUUCUAUUUCACCGUAGUUCCACUCUCAAAUAAAUACAAAGUUAGACACCCCAAAUUAUCUAUUUUGCCCCUCUUUCAUUUUUAUUUGCAGAUGUUGCUCUCGUUUGAAAGGUGCUUUUUGGUUGAGCUUUGGCCACGUUGCGUUUUGUAGGAAAGAUAUUGGAAGCAUCUUUCACUUUUUCUUUUGAGUAAAUUAUACUUUUUUACUUUAGAUUUUUGAGGAUGAGGAGUGGGGACGAACUGGGUUUGACUUUAUUUUUUUAAGAAAAUUCAGGUUUUUUAAAAAGAAAUUAAGAAGUUAUUUUUUUUGUCACGUGCAGAUAUUUGGCAACCACGUGACAUAUAUGUUGAAGUUACAUCAGCACUUAACGGAUCAAUAGAUGAAAAAUAUAACAGAAGUAUUAUUUUGAAAUAAAAUAGUAUUUAAGGUAUGAAAGUGAAAUAUUUUGAAGAUAUUGUAAGGAAUUAAAAUAGAUCUCAAACCUAAGGUGUGAAAGUCUAAUUUACCCUUUUCUUUUCCUCAGCAUCUUCCACCUUUACUUCCACUUCCAACAUCUUUCACUUUUUCUUUUCCUUUUCUUUUCUUCUCUCCGUUUUUAUGUCUCUCUUUGCGUUUCUCUGAGUGUGUCUCGCUGUUUUCAUCGCGAUCUGAUCGUUUAGAAGGGUGGUUGGCCUGUUUUUCCCGCUGUUUUCCGCGGAGGAAUCGCAACGGUUUGGGUGCGUUGGUUGCUGUGUGCCAUUAUUUUGUGCUUGGCUGGAAACGUUUAUCUUCCAACUUUAGGGUUUUGUUGUGGGAGUUUGCAAACCCUUUUUGGGCCAGGUAUAUAAUUUAUCUUUGCACUUUGUUUUUUUGGGCUAAUUUUUUUAUUUGGGUCUUUUGGUGGUUUGUGCUUUGAUUUUUGUCUGAAUGUUUAAAAAGUCAGAGAGAGAUAGCGAUGGUUAGUUUUGGGUUUCCUUUGCCACCAGAAGCAUUUGGCUCGACGAUAAGGUCGUCAAGGUCCAGAUUUGGGACACCACCGGCCAGGAAAGGUUGAUCAUGUUGUUUCAUUUUGUGAAACAGUGUAGCCUUUGUCAAUCAAAUGCUUUGCUGAAACAUCCAAUAAGAAGAAUAAAAUAACCAUGAUUGCAGAACCAUUGGAGAGAGGACUUGCUAAGGACAUUGAGAAUGUAUAUAAGCUACAGUGUUCGUUUCUGCAAUGCAGGCUGCAACUGAUGAUUAGAUUCAAGUUAUUGAGAUGAUUAAGCUCUUGGAAACAAAGGGUUCGAAGACUUUUUAAAGUUUGGUUCCAACAUUUGUACAAAAUUCUAUAAAAUAUCAGUUAUGCAAUUUAUAGUUGUAUUCUUAUAUUUUAAUGAUAUAACAAUUUGUUUUC